AGAGUUUGAUCAUGGCUCAGGGCGAACGCUGGCGGCGUGCCUAAUACAUGCAAGUAGAACGCUGAAGAGAGGAGCUUGCUCUUCUUGGAUGAGUUGCGAACGGGUGAGUAACGCGUAGGUAACCUGCCUUGUAGCGGGGGAUAACUAUUGGAAACGAUAGCUAAUACCGCAUAACAAUGGAUGACCCAUGUCAUUUAUUUGAAAGGGGCAAAUGCUCCACUACAAGAUGGACCUGCGUUGUAUUAGCUAGUAGGUGAGGUAACGGCUCACCUAGGCGACGAUACAUAGCCGACCUGAGAGGGUGAUCGGCCACACUGGGACUGAGACACGGCCCAGACUCCUACGGGAGGCAGCAGUAGGGAAUCUUCGGCAAUGGGGGCAACCCUGACCGAGCAACGCCGCAUGAGUGAAGAAGGUUUUCGGAUCGUAAAGCUCUGUUGUAAGUCAAGAACGAGUGUGAGAGUGGAAAGUUCACACUGUGACGGUAGCUUACCAGAAAGGGACGGCUAACUACGUGCCAGCAGCCGCGGUAAUACGUAGGUCCCGAGCGUUGUCCGGAUUUAUUGGGCGUAAAGCGAGCGCAGGCGGUUUGAUAAGUCUGAAGUUAAAGGCUGUGGCUCAACCAUAGUUCGCUUUGGAAACUGUCAAACUUGAGUGCAGAAGGGGAGAGUGGAAUUCCAUGUGUAGCGGUGAAAUGCGUAGAUAUAUGGAGGAACACCGGCGGCGAAAGCGGCUCUCUGGUCUGUAACUGACGCUGAGGCUCGAAAGCGUGGGGAGCGAACAGGAUUAGAUACCCUGGUAGUCCACGCCGUAAACGAUGAGUGCUAGGUGUUGGAUCCUUUCCGGGAUUCAGUGCCGCAGCUAACGCAUUAAGCACUCCGCCUGGGGAGUACGACCGCAAGGUUGAAACUCAAAGGAAUUGACGGGGGCCCGCACAGGCGGUGGAGCAUGUGGUUUAAUUCGAAGCAACGCGAAGAACCUUACCAGGUCUUGACAUCCCGAUGCUAUUUCUAGAGAUAGAAAGUUACUUCGGUACAUCGGUGACAGGUGGUGCAUGGUUGUCGUCAGCUCGUGUCGUGAGAUGUUGGGUUAAGUCCCGCAACGAGCGCAACCCCUAUUGUUAGUUGCCAUCAUUCAGUUGGGCACUCUAGCGAGACUGCCGGUAAUAAACCGGAGGAAGGUGGGGAUGACGUCAAAUCAUCAUGCCCCUUAUGACCUGGGCUACACACGUGCUACAAUGGUUGGUACAACGAGUUGCGAGUCGGUGACGGCAAGCUAAUCUCUUAAAGCCAAUCUCAGUUCGGAUUGUAGGCUGCAACUCGCCUACAUGAAGUCGGAAUCGCUAGUAAUCGCGGAUCAGCACGCCGCGGUGAAUACGUUCCCGGGCCUUGUACACACCGCCCGUCACACCACGAGAGUUUGUAACACCCGAAGUCGGUGAGGUAACCUUUUGGAGCCAGCCGCCUAAGGUGGGAUAGAUGAUUGGGGUGAAGUCGUAACAAGGUA
rnacentral:rRNA from 1 species